rnacentral:tRNA from 1 species
AUAUAUAUAAUUUAAAAUAAAAUAUUAUAUUUUCAUUAUAACAAUUGUAUCCCUACAUAUGUAUG